rnacentral:rRNA from 1 species
CGGAUUGCAGGCUGCAACUCGCCUGCAUGAAGCUGGAAUUGCUAGUAAUCGCGGAUCAGCAAGCCGCGGUGAAUACGUUCCCGGGCCUUGUACACACCGCCCGUCACACCAUGAGAGUCGGGAACACCCGAAGUCCGUAGUCUAACCGCAAGGAGGACGCUGCCGAAGGUGGGAUUAGCGACUGGGGUGAAGUCGUAACAAGGUACC